UACGUAGGGGCCUAGCGUUGUCCGGAAUUAUUGGGCGUAAAGAGCUCGUAGGCGGUUCGGCAAGUCGGAUGUGAAAUCUCCACGCUCAACGUGGAGGGGCCAUUCGAAACUGCCGUGACUCGAGUCCGGUAGGGGAGUGUGGAAUUCCCGGUGUAGCGGUGAAAUGCGCAGAUAUCGGGAGGAACACCAGUAGCGAAGGCGGCACUCUGGGCCGGUACUGACGCUGAGGAGCGAACGCGUGGGGAGCGAACAGG
rnacentral:rRNA from 1 species